GACGAACGCUGGCGGCGUGCCUAAUACACGCAAGUCGAACGAAGCUGUUUUAACUGGUGCUUGCACCGACUUAAACAACUGAGUGGCGAACGGGUGAGUAACACGUGGGUAACCUGCCCCAAAGCGGGGGAUAACAUUUGGAAACAGAUACUAAUACCGCAUAAUCACAGAAACCACAUGGUUUCUGUGUCAAAGAUGGUUUCGGCUAUCACUUUGGGAUGGACCAGAGGCGUAUUAGCUAGUUGGUAAGGUAAUGGCUUACCAAGGCAAUGAUACGUAGCCGAACUGAGAGGUUGAUCGGCCACAUUGGGACUGAGACACGGCCCAAACUCCUACGGGAGGCAGCAGUAGGGAAUCUUCCACAAUGGACGAAAGUCUGAUGGAGCAACGCCGCGUGAGUGAAGAAGGUUUUCGGAUCGUAAAACUCUGUUGUCAGAGAAGAACGUGUGCGAGAGUAACUGUUCGUGCAGUGACGGUAUCUGGCCAGAAAGCCACGGCUAACUACGUGCCAGCCGCCGCGGUAA
rnacentral:rRNA from 1 species